rnacentral:sRNA from 1 species
AAUGGCGCGUGCUGCAACCCGCGCCCGCUUCGGAGAGAGAAAUGCUGGGAGACAGGAUUUCACCAUAUUGGCCAGGCUGGUCUCGAACUCCUGACUUCGUGGUCUGCCCACCUCGGCUUCCCAAAGUGCUGAGGUUACAGGCGUGAGCCACCGUGCCCGGCCGCGUUUCUUGCUCUUUAAGCUCUGCUAGCUUGGCCUCUGUCACUAAAGGUGCAGCUUCAAGCUUAGGACCACCCACCAUGCCCAUCCAGGUGCUGAAGGGCCUGACCAUCACUCAUUAAGAACAGAGGAGGCUGCCUGUUACUCCUGGUGACGCAUCCCUCCAGACUCUCUGCUGUUUCCUGCCUAGGCGUGGCUGCAGCCAUGGCUAGGAAAGUGCUGCCACCCACCCACCUGGGCCGGAGCUGGUUCUGCUCCUGCUGCAGGGACACUGAGCUGGCUAUCUCGGCGCUUCGGGCAAGAACCGCAACAGGCUCUCCUGGGUCCUGCAGGUUUACAGCCGGGCCCCUGCCUUGUGCCUCAGCUCUUGAGAGCUGCUGCUGCCGGGUGACCUGAUCCAACCUGAUAAGGUGCCAUCUUCAGCUACCACUGCAAGGCCCUGAGGGCAACAGCAGCAUGGCACUGCCCACCCAGCUGCUGAUGGCCUGGUGCCAGCUGGGAGUCCUCCCGGCACUUCGAGGCCACUGAGCCACUCUUCCAGCCCGGCCCACCAUGGACAGGGGUAUCCAGCUUCCUCCUCAACCUCGUCCUCUGCCCCUGAGCCAGUGACACCCAAGGACAUGCCUGUUACCCAGGUCCUGUACCAGCACUAGCUGGUCAAGGGCAUGACAGUGCUGGAGGCCGUCUUGGAGAUCCAGGCCAUCACUGACAGCAGGCUGCUCUCCAUGGUGCCAGGGCCUGCCAGGCCACCAGGCUUAUGCUGGGACCCAACCCAGUGCACAAGGACUUGGCUGCUGAGCCACACACCCAG